AUACCUGCCCUUUUUUAUUUUUAUUUUGGCUCUCACCUUCCCCAAUUAGUUCAACCCUUGGACUCGUGCUUUGUGUUAAGAGGUUCAAAUGAGCGACAACCUUAUCUUCCAGUGUUGGGGCUAUGGCUUGAAAUCGUUCUAAAUAAAGAUAGUGUGGUUCAUCCACAUCAGUACUUAUAGCUCCAUUCCAGUCUAAUCAAUGGUCUCAUCUCUUAUACGGAUAUCGCAAGUGUGGAGAGAAAACUCUUGCUAAUACACUGAAACAUGAGAUGGAGAAAAAGAGUAGGGUUGGACCUGCUGUGUAAUUCCAAAUGCACAACCAAUUAAGUUUAUUUGAAGAUUCUUGAUUUUCUCGAUGAAUUGGAAAAACUAUGGAGGAGAUUGAAAUUGAUGAAACUAGUGUCAUAUUGUGAAUUGUAUCUUUUAUUCCUCUACUCUGUUUUACGACCUUCACAUUCUUGCUACUA